UUUUUUUUUUUUUUUUUUUUUUUUUGUGUUUCUUGAUGACUAGAAAAUUACAACCAAAAGGACUAGAACUAGUUUUUAGUCUUGAAGCCUCGAGGCAUCCAUACCUAAUCCGGUGGGCUUGCGUCAACAAGGAUUGCUAAGAUUAACUUAACUAAUACUUACAAGACAACUGGUCCCUUGCUUUGAAUUUGUAACAAGCUAAUUUGUCUUGACCUUAUAAAUAGUGGGGAAGCAUUCAUUUGUCAGUCUAUUUAGUAUACAAUUUGCAUAAAAUUCUUCUCUUGAAUAGUGUGACUUUGUCAACUAUUCUAGUACAGUACUCUUUUUUUUCUUUUUUCUUUUUUUUUGUGUCCUGCUGAAGCAACGAUUAAAUGAAGUCAAAACAUUUUAUAAUAAUACGCUGCAUCUUGUGUUUUUUUUUUUUUAUCGACACGGGAGUGUUCGGGUCAAUCCUUACGGGGCUCGACUAAUCCCCUGUGGCCCGGGCCCGACGUCCCAAUCCGGCCAGAAUACGUUAAGUGCGCGAAGGAAUCCAACGGAACGGAGAGGCGCUGCCGCUGGACCAUUCACGCGGGGACAUGCUGCAUUUUGUUAGAAUUAGUGAAUUAUUGUUUGGUGUACCAAUUCAAUCCAAGGCGUCUUUUUCAGCUAUCCAGUCGUGAGUUGUGAACCAUUUUGGCAUUUUAUCAAGUGCAAUAAGUCAGGGAAGGCAGAGAAAAUUAGUGCAGAAAUAAUAUAAUUCAUCAAGUAGAAGUGUGUGUGUGUGUGUGUAUAUAUGCAUGAAGUAGUAGUGUGUGUAUAUAUAUGCUCUGUUAUGCUAUCAAUUUAAAGGAUAAAAGAUCAACGUUUGAGUCAUUCCAUGUUGUUGUUGGAUUAAUUGCAAAAUGACCCCUUAAAUUAGUACUUACUUUCAUUUUCUUCCAUACAACUAUUGGAUUUUUCAAUUUAGUACCUCAUACUAUCAACUUGUGGAAGAUUGUUCAAAUUAUUUGAAAAUCAAUGAAUUUUUCUAACUAUUUUUUGAACAAAGAGAUAAUUUGCAUUUCGUCUACUAAAGUGCUCUUGUUCAUUUAAGAGUACUAGAAUCUUUUCAUUUUAAAUGAAAAUUUUAUAAGAUUUUUUAAAUUUAUCUUAUUAAAGUGUUGCAAAUUGAUAGCAUAAAGCAUUUACAUUAUGCAAUUGAUUGUUUGGGUUAAUUACUAAUCGAUUAUUGUUCAAGGGUACAAAUUUGAAACUGUUAAAUAUCGAAGAAGUAAUCUAAAUUCUGAAUCCACACAAAUUUUUCAAUCUUUAAUCUUUGGGAGCAUAAUCUAUAAUUUUAUUUAAUGUACCAUACGGUUAUGUUCCUUAUAAUUAAUUUGAUUUGAGAUUUAAUUAUUGGUCAAUCAAUAUAUUGAUAUUAUUACAUUUUAAAACAAUAAGAGAUGUAGGACAUAGUAUAGAAAUGCUCAAUUAAGGCUCCGUUUAGGAUUGCGAUGCGUUCAUAGAAAAAGAGCUUUUAAGUACUUUUAAAGUAUUUGAUAACUAAUUUCUCGUAAUUUAAGUAGCUCAGUUUUUGACAAUUUAAAAACACUUGUGUUAGAAGUGCAUAUUUAUAAGUUACCGCAACCCCGUAUGGGACUUAAAGCAUAAACAUAAUGUUAGCUUAUAUUUUGGCCUUUAUUCCAUUUAACUCAAAGUAAAAAAAGAAUGGUCAAAAUCCAUGUGUCAAAGUUGCAUAAAUGAUUUAUAAACAAAAUUAGUUUUUAUUGUUUGGUAACUUCUUAAAUGCUUUCCUCUCCACUAAAAUUCUUUAAAUUUAUAAUACGUAAAAAAGUUUCAAAACUUUGUGGUAACAUAACUACAUUCCAUCACCAAAAUUUGCCCAAAAAAAUCGUAAAAAAUGGAGAAGAAAAUUUAUUUUUCAUGGAUUAACAAAAAAAAACUACUAGAUGAGUGGGAAAGGAUCUCAUCACUUGAUAAAUUCCCCCCUAGUCCAUAUUUCCCCAAUCACUCCCUAGAUUUUCUACUCCCGCAGCCGCAGGACCACAGCUUCUCCCUUUCUUGAAAUAUAUAUACCCCAAUCCCUCUCUUUCCCCUUUCAACUUUGUAUUUCUCCCCAGUGCACUGCCAAAAACCCCACCAACCCCUUUCCCCUUCGCCCUCCCACAACCCCACCGCCACCUGCUUCAUCACAGCCACCACCGCAAUGGGGAAAGGCUCAGCCUUGUCAGAUGGGUUGGUGAAGAAAAUCAUCCUCUCCUACACUUAUGUAGCCAUCUGGAUCUUCCUUUCCUUCACUGUAAUCGUCUACAACAAAUACAUCCUUGACAGAAAGCUCUACAAUUGGCCAUUUCCCAUCUCCCUAACCAUGAUCCAUAUGGCCUUCUGUUCAUCCUUAGCAUUUUUGCUCGUCCGAGUCCUUAAACUAGUCGAGCCUGUGGCCUUGUCUCGCCAGCUUUACCUCAGUUCAGUGGUCCCAAUUGGAGCCCUUUAUGCCCUUUCCCUCUGGCUCUCAAACUCUGCUUAUAUUUACUUAUCGGUCUCCUUCAUUCAGAUGUUGAAAGCUUUAAUGCCUGUGGCUGUCUACUCUAUUGGGAUUCUCUUAAAGAAAGAUACUUAUAAGGGCAACACUAUGCUUAACAUGGUUGCUAUUUCGUUUGGGGUUGCUAUUGCUGCUUAUGGUGAAGCAAAGUACGAUUCUUGGGGGGUUUUGCUUCAGUUGGGUGCUGUUGCUUUUGAGGCUACUAGGUUGGUUUUGAUCCAGAUCUUGUUGACUUCUAAGGGAAUCAAUUUGAAUCCCAUUACUUCUCUGUAUUAUGUGGCUCCAAGUUGCCUCUUUUUCUUGUUCAUUCCUUGGAUUUUUGUGGAAUACCCUGUUUUGAGGGAGAAUUCCAGUUUCCAUUUUGAUUUCGUGGUGUUUGGGACUAAUUCGCUCUGUGCAUUUGCUCUGAACUUGGCUGUUUUCUUGCUUGUGGGAAAGACUUCUGCUUUGACCAUGAAUGUGGCUGGGGUGGUAAAAGAUUGGCUUUUGAUCGCGUUUUCCUGGUCGGUGAUUAAGGAUACUGUGACCCCUAUGAACUUGAUCGGGUAUGGAUUGGCGUUUUUGGGUGUUGGAUAUUAUAAUCAUUCGAAAUUGCAGGCGCUGAAGGCAAAAGAGGCGCAGAAGAAGUCGCAGCAGGCUGAUGAGGAGAGUGGAAAGCUAUUGGGAGAGACAGAAGGGAAAGAUGGGGUUGAGGGAAUUGGCAAGAAGGGUGACACUCAGGCCUGAUUUGUCGGUGGAAGAUUGAGUUUGUGGAAGAAAGAUGGGGACAUUGACUAAUAAUGUACGAAGAAGAUGAAGAAAAAAAUCAGGGUCCCUCCCUCAGAGUGCGUUCUUCUUGCUCAUUUGAUGGGUCUGGACUUAGUAGCAAACUUUGAUAGGAUGAUUUGUUAGUUGUUAAUUGUGCUUUAUUUAGUGUUUGUUUCUUUCGGAAAUGGGAUUUGAGAUUCGUCAUUUCUCAGUUAUACGGCCAGUUAAUGUAUCCUAGUGGAGUAAGACUCCAUAAAACCUCAAUUUAUCUUCUUUAUGCUGAUACGUAAUUUCAUUUUUUUCCUCCUCUGUUCUGCAUGUAGGUCUAAACUUAUUAGUGUAUAUGAAAAUCAGGAUGCUAUGGUAUAACUAAUGCAGAUCUGGUCAUUAUGAUUUGACACUGUUGUUUAUGUUUGCUUGUCUGAUGAAGCGAAUGUUUGUUUGAAUUUGUGGAUCUCAUCGCAAUCAUCAGGAAGCGGAGCUAUAAAUAUGGGAACCAUUGCGCCAAAAGGAUUUGAAAACUCAAGUUUUGGAAUUGGAAGCCAUAAUAAUCAUUACUGACUUAGGCACAUUUUGGGACAUGGACCUGGUGUUUUUGUUGCAUGGAUGGGACUUUGUUGAAAUUUGCAGUAUAUAGUAGUUGCGUUAUUGGGGUAAACGUUUUUAGUGGUAGGAUUGUUCUUUAGAAUGGUGUGAUGUCUUGUAUUGUGAUGCUUGACGAAACUCUCUAUUUGUUAAAAGUUCAUUGUGUCAAACUGGCAACAUGAUGGGAUCAAGAGAAAUUUUCAUCUAAGAUGCAACAGGAAUAGGUUUAGCAGGAGAAGAAAGAAAACUGGAAGGAGGAAUUAAUAAUGAUUACACACAAGCUUCUUUCUGAAGGUCCAAAUAGGAUGCCAUUGCAAUCACUAUCAAGCAUUAAAGUAGUAGUAUCAAUAUCACUGGCAAUAUUGUAGUUGAAACUUGAUUACUACUAUUUUUAGAUGCCAAAAGGCUGGAGAAGAAAAUUUGCAAGUGAAAAAAUGCAUUCCAUGGUAAAUUCGCAAUUUGGCAGAAUAUUUUUGCCUCUCAACCCUGCAUAACGUGGGGUUAAUUUCGAAGAUAAAGCUUGGCUUCUGCAGUAGUUGCUUUUCUUGGAACCUUAAUCUAACUCGGAGCUAAUGGUGGUGGUAUUUGUUCCAAAGCACCAAGAAAAUUGUUAUCAAGGUAACUUGAUGCAGAGAGUAGUAUUAUUGGAACUCUUGAUUGAAUUUGGUAUUCCAGUACUUUGAAUGUGAUCAAAGAUAUAAAAGUUAACGAGUUUUAGGGGAAGGGAGGAGGCCGGGCAUGUGAAGAAAUGCAGCUAAUUUAUGGGAUCACAAGAAAUCAGUGGUAGAAUGAAUAUCAGACAAAACAUGUGUUGCUGAGUGAGGGAUGGUGAUUGCCAUACUGAUCUAAUUUUAGUAAUAUCUGCAUCAAGUCAUUGCUUAGUUGUUACUGAAAAAAAUCUUGAAGAUUUUCAUUAUUUCUCCGGCAUUUAGCUCUUACUAUUGUGACCUAUCAGAUACAGGUGAAACAUUUUAUCGGAUACAGGUGAAACAUUUUACUGACUAGAUUGACCAUGUUGCGCUUCAUUGCCAUACUUUUAGGGGGUUGAACACCCAAAAAUGCGGUGCUGCAUCUGUAAUUCUGUAUUGAAGAGGGAACUCUGAGGCCAAGACAUGCAAUCCAGUGCACUAAGAAAUUAUUCCAUUCCCGCACUCGGUGCCAUCUUUAGCUGUAAAGAGUAAGCCUAAAAUAGGCCGUCAUACUUUAAAGAAAUGAUGAUGACUCUAGGAGCUUACGGAAAUCUUCAAGCCCUUCUCCCUCCUUGCAUCUCAAUUGAAUCCUUUGUGGACUUCUUCCUCCCGGGUGCUAAUGGAUGGGGAUCAGAGUUUGUUUGGAUAAGAGUUUAUUUGAGAUAAUUACUGUAUCACUUUUUGUGAUGUGAUGUAUGUGAGAUAAAAAGGCGAUUGAAAAGAUAAAAAGAUGAUUGGGAUUUGUGAGACAAAUUAUUUUUUUUUCAAAAUCCUAUGUGUUUGGAUCGUAAAAAAUUACAUUUUAUUUACACACAUUGAUUUGUUUGCAUCAUCAACACAUUUUCCAAUCACCUUUUUACCUCACAUACAUUAUACUCCCUCGGUCCCAUUUUGAUAGUGCUGAUUUUUUUUCACACAGUUUAAGAAAAGUAGUUAAUUUUGUUGGAACAAUCAAUUUAGAUAGCUAUUUUUCUAAAAUACCCUCACAUUAAUUAAAGUACAAUUUUAUGGGAACUUGAAUUGAUGGUAAAAAAAAAAAUCAACUCUCAUUAAAUGGGGUAGGUUUAUAGUAAUAACAACUUACAUUGAAUAAGAGUAUUUUAGAAAAUUAAAAUACAACUACAUUCUUCAAUUGGAAAGUGAAUUACAAUUUGGGACAGACGAAAAAGGAAAACAGAACUAUCAAAUUGCGACAGAGGGAGUAUCAAAAAAAAAAAAUGCUACAGUACUUUUCACAAAAUUAUUUCAAAUAAUGUACAAUCCAAACACACUUAAUUCGGAGAACUUUCACCCAUGGGCAGGGAGCUCCUCUAUGCUAAACUCAUAUCCCGUACAAAUGUUAAUAUGUUGAUAUUGAUGAAUUAAGUCAUUAAUGUACCAAAGCUAUGAAUUGUAAAUGGAGGGUGCCUAACUUGUUUGGGUUGUAGUUUUCAUGGAAAAAUUUUUAUGGUGGGGUGUCUAAAUUGUUUGGAUUGUAGUUCCAUAAAUAUAUUUUUAUAUUUUUCAUAAACACAUUUUUUAAUUACCUUUUUAUUUCAUAUAUAUCAAAUUGCUAUAGUAUAUUUUUUUUAAUAAAAAAUUCUGUCAUUAUUGUACUUUUAAGGUGGUUUGAAUGCAAUGUGUAAGUGGUCAUUAGGGCCGUUAGGGCUGCCAUGUUCCACUAAUCUAAAUUGGGAUGGUUAUUAUGGUGCCAACUUUUGCCAAACAAUUUUGAUUUUAUUGGUAGAAUUUUAUGUCCUCAUGGUUAUGAAGUCAAUUCCAUUAAGCUGCAUGUUUCUUGGGUUGGGGGGAAGGGGAGGGGGGGGUGUUUGAAGGGUGGUGAUGGAAGAAGUGAAUUAUUCAUCAUUACUAGGCUAGCCUUGUUAUCUUUAAUCAAAUCACUGACACUUUUUCUUGAAUUAGAGUACAUAUAUAUAUAUUAUGAAUCACAGGUAUCUAUAUCUUAAUUUUGUUCGAGCUAAUCGGACCGUUUACGAAAAGAAUCUCUUUCAACGUUAUUCUUUUCAUUUUCAUGAAUUUUAAAUCCAAUACCUCGUGAUUAAAAGAUGCAAGUUCCUUCCACAGUUCCACCGGCACCAACAUCCAUUGAUAGUUUAAGCUCUCUGUGUGCCAUGAUGGCUAAAUAGGGCCUUGUGACUGGAACUGGGUGUCAUAUCAUGCAAGCGGACGGAAAUGCCCCCUUUAUCUUUGGGCCCCUGUGUUUGAUUGCCAAAAUGUAGCUAUUUAAUUCUAGUGGGCAAUACUUAAAAUGUGGUGCUUGUCCUCACCUGCUGCAAUGCGGUAAUACAUACAGCUAUUUAUUGGGACAAAUUUAGGAGAGAUGUAAUGAUGUGUGAUGCUAGGAGAAGUAGGUUGGUAGAUUUUCCUCUGAUGCUUUAAAGGUGAAAGUGGAGCUCUGAAGUUGUCCUUUUGGUCCUUAGAUUUAAUUAAUUCUCCACCCCUUUUGGGUAAAUAUUUCUACAAGUGGAGGAUGAAUUAAAUACCUGCAAGCCCUGGAAUUAAUAGAACUCUAUUUUACUGCUACCCUCUCGAGCCAGACUUAAUUCUUGAAUCUUAGACCUUCCUAAUUCCCAUAAGUUGCCACUGGGGAUUUGGGACAAAUCCUAAAGGCUCAAAGGCUUGGCCCUAGGAUCCAAGGGAUCAUCUCUACUUGCACUGUUCAUCUUCCCUGCCUGCUAAGCAAGGAGGAGGAAAUGUUGGACCUGUUCCUAUCUACCAAAAGAAAAAGAGAUGAAUUAAUGUCACAAAAUUUUUUGUGCUAUUGUCAAAACUAUCUUUUUAGAUAGCCAUCCUGGUCCAAAUUGACCUAGGAGAGUAAUAUUGGCAUGGAGGAAAAACUUAUUCUAACAUUAAAAUUGUGGCUAUACCAAUCUCAUCAACCAAGAUAUAAAAGUAUAUGGGCCAUUCCUUAAAUUCCAUCUUCUUCUUCUUCUUCUUGUAUUUGGACAGUAAAUUAUUUGAGAUAAUUUUGUGAAAAAAAUACUAUAGUACUUUUUGUGAUGUGAUAUAUGUUAGAUAAAAAGCUAAUUGAAAAAUGUGUUGAUGAUACAAAUAACGUGCAUUUCAAACACUUGUGCAUGUGUGAUGCAACACAAACUACACACUUGGAAAAUUUUAUUUAAGGUAAAUAUGGCUAACAGUCCGUACAACCAUUAACUCUACCAUUGUUGCUUCUUUCCACCAAACCGCCCUUUUCCACCAUAAUUGUGACUUCGUGGACUAAUAAUACCAGCAAGCCACUAACAAGAAUCCCAGAAUAGGCCAGUCAUCGUUUUUUUUUUUUUUUUGGACACAGGAAUAUCUUGGAAUCACUCAGAUUAAUCCCCUGCGGCUGAGCAGAGCCUGCCCCUUAGGAUGCCCAGCGCAUUAAUUCUGAGAGAGUCGAAUCGUGGUCGAUCGUGACGAUGAACUGACUGCUAGACCAGUUAACCAGACAGUACCCGACAUAGUUAAGUGCCAGAUGAACUCGCACAUUUAUCGCGAGAAAGGGCAAAGAAUCUCUUAGCAGCACCCUGUGGGGUUAAGUUCCCACAUCGCGUAGUUAAGUUCUUCAAAAGUUGCCGGCUUUUGUGUCUUGAGUCCAUUUAUGCGUUAUGGAGAAAUGUAGCUUUCAUCCGUACAUAAAUAAAUGCUUGUCCAGAACCAAUGGAGAGGAGAGGACGUGUGGGAUCAAGAUAAACACACUUAAGCGCAGAAGGGAAGUUGUUUAUCGUGGUGCUCUUGCCUAUGAGAGGCGUUUCACCUCAGCUAGUGUUGCUCCAACAUGCAGCCAUGCUUAAUUAGUCAGAGAAGUAAAUCUAUCCUCUGCAGACUGGUUAACCAUGUUAGAGAAAAUCAAGCAGUCUUUCGUACUAGUUUACUCAGUGGUUGACAAUGAAUAGCUCAUCUAGGCAUGAUGCAUUUUACAUGAUUAAUCGUCACAAGGAUCAAAGAAUCAUCUGCGUUUAAGCUAAUGAUGAUUGGUAAUAAGAGUCUCGAGUACUCGCGGAUGACUAACAAGUCAGGAUCAAAGCGGGACUGCCAAACAGCAGCACUGCCCGCCCUGACGGCACAGCCAUAUGAUUUCGUCACAGACUGUAUUAUCUGAACUGUCUUGCCCUUGCUUUGGAAUAGCCUGGAGAGUAUCAGGAUUAGAAGCAUUACCUGGUUUUCCUUCCUACUUUUUUCCCAUAAAAGGAACUAGCAGAGGGCCAUAAAGUGCCGACCAAUCAAUAUUGCUAUUACAAAAUUGAUAGCAAAAGAGGCAGCAGGAAUUUCAAGUUUCCCAUGUAUCUUCCCAUUGUGAUAGCUUCUACUGAGAAGGCCAUCAUCUGACCAUCUUCCCCAGAUAGGUAGCAGUUUUGAUCAUCAUUUUUACUUCCUCCACUUUUGUCAAAGAUGAAAGUUCCCAAGGAUUUGGAUUCAAGGAUGUGGACCCCUUUCUUUUUUUUUUUUUUUGGCUUCUUUUCAUCAUUGAAGAAUAACAUGGAGUUCAUGGAACUUUCUUUCAUAGGAAUAAUGUCUAGUAGACGGACUAAUAAGCACAAAAGUUCUAUAGAAUGCAAACUAAAUAUCGGAAUUUAUCUGAGUGAGGGAUUUUGAAUAUUCUUGAGAGUCUUCUUACAUUCUCUCACUAUUUGCAGGAAUUUAAGGCCUCUUCUCUUUGUAGCUGCCAUGAUGACUUGAAGAAUGUGGACUAUGGGAAUUUCUGAACACUUCUUAAAUUUGUACCAUUUAGUUUCAAACAGAAAUGUUAAGUGGCAACAAGCGCGCACACAGAACAAAUUCCAUAAGCCCAGGUCUGACUUACUUCAGAACCGAAACUGCCAUUAGGGUCCCCAAACUAAUGAAGACUGCCAAAACCAGAAAUACUCAACCAGUCUCUAGUGCUAUUUGAUAUAACGUACGUGUAGUGCUGCCAUUUGCCAGCUGCUUGCUUGUGAUGUACCACCACUGGACAAAGUGUAAACAGCCAAAAUAUGGGCAAGCAAAAUUCUCUCCACUGUUUCACCAGAAGUCUUUACAUGAGCAUAACCCAUCUAUGAAGUGGUGAAAACGGUUUCUGUCUCUGACCACUAUUUCCCUAUUGUAGAUCUUGGAGAUAAACUUAGUAGCAGUAUGACAAUCCUCACAAACACGCAAGUUUUUCACAAUGCGAAUAGAAGUUCCAGGAGGUGUCUUCAGAAGGGCAAAUGCAAUAGCCAACUUCUCACUGUGCCUGUUUAAAGCAUCUUCCUUGUCUUCCUCGUCAAUAUCAAGUAGAACUUCAGAAGUGGUAGCAACAUAUCCAGCCCUUCUCAUCUCCUUCCCCAUUUCGUCCAACAUUUCAUAAAUUUCUUUGUAUUCAUUAUGAGUUUUAUCUCCGGCAACAAAUUCAUAAAUCUCAUUAUCCAGCUCAAACAUGGUGCUACCUGGAGUUUUUCUAAUUCCCUUUUUCCCCAUAACCUCCCUAAUUGUUGUUUUUUUCUCCCAGUUUAACGAUAUUGCAUAGAUAUUAGACAGCAAGACAUAAUUGGACUCGAGCAUGGGCUCCUGUUUUAUGAGCUUCCUAGUCAUGCUUUCACUGAGUUUGAGCUCACCAUGAGCACGGCAGGCAGUGAUUAGUGCUCGCAAAAUGAUUGGAUUUGGCUCAAUGGGCAUACUCUCAACAAACUCCAAUGCGUCUUUAACAAGUCCGGCCCUGCUUAACAGAUCAACCAUGCACCCAUAAUGUUCUAUCUUGGGCACAAUUCUGAAUUCCUUCAACAUCAAAUCAAAAUACUGCCUGCCUUUCUCAACUAAACCAGAAUGGCUACAAGCACUGAGCAAUCCUAUAAAAGCAACAUCGUCAGGCACUAUUCCAGAACUCCUCAUGUCCUCAAACAAUGAAAUGGCCUCCAAACCACGGCCAUGCAUUGCCAUACCAACAAUCAAAGAAGUCCACGAAACAAUGUCCUUCUCAGCCAUGUUCCUAAACAACUUCAAAGCCUUGUCAACAUCGCCACACUUGACAAACAUGUCAAUCAACGCAUUGCAUAGCUCCACACUCUUCGGAACCUUCUCCUUGUCAAUAUAGGAAGACACCCACUUCCCAAGCUCAAGUGCACCCAAAUCAGUACAAGCAGACAACACUGACACCAUAGUAACCUCAUCAGGCCUCACUCCAGCAAUCUGCAUUUUCCUAAACAACCCCACUGCCUCACUUGACAUGCCCAACUUGGCAUACCCGCCAAUCAUCGCACUCCACGACACUGAAUCACAUUUAGGCAUCUCAUCAAACACUUUCCGGCCGAACUCAAUUCCUCCGCCACAAGAACAAUACAUAUGAACCAUGGUGUUCAAAACAUGAAUAUCAUCACUAAAACCAUAUUUCACCGCAGACCCAUGAACACUUUGGCCUAAACUCAACUCUCCAAUGCCAGCACAGGCCUUAAGAACAAACGGGUACGUAAAUUUGUUAGGAAAAAUGCAAUCUUUAAGCAUAAUUUUGUAGUAAAUCAGGGCAUUCUGCUUUGAAUCCUUUGUUUGAGCAUAAGCCCUGAUGACAGUGUUGAAAAGGAAGGUAUCAUAGAGAUGGGUUUUGGCAUCAAGGCCAAAAAUGAAGGAGGAAGCAUAAUCAAUGGCAUUGAGGUCAGAAGACGUGGAGGCCAACCUGGUGAGGACAAGUGGGUUCGUUUGAAGGCCUAAUUUCAGAAUGUGAGUGUGGAUUUGGGACAGUUUUGGGAAGUUGUUGCAGAGUUCCAAGAGGGCUAAGCAGUUCUGCUCUGCUGCUCUUUUCUUGCUGGCUGUUUUGGGUGGCGGUGGCAGUGUAUGAAGGUAGCGGAAUAGCUUGGUUUUGGAGAUAAAAGACAGCAUUUAGAUUGGCUGAUGUCCACAAUCUCUCGACCAAACCAUCAGGAAUUAGUGCCAACAAGAAACCUCAUGUCCUAACAAGUGGCUGGUCCCAGCUAUAUCCACGUCACCUCAACUCUUUCUGCACUGUUUUACAGUUAGUUUCAGAGUCAGAAUUGGCGCUUCAUCUUUCUUCUUUCUUUUGAAUGCUUCCUCUUUCUUCUUAUUCUUCUUUCUACUCAAUCUCCAAUUCCCCAUUCCAAAUCAACAUCUUUAAUUAGCAAAAGAGAUUCGAAAUUAAAUGAGAAAGUUGUCGUCUUUGAUCUCUCUUAGGUUCGCUCAUCAGACCUCAAAACACAACCCCUGUAAUUGUAGUGCUGCUCGAUUUUACUGCAUCACCAGUGAUUCUCCCCAUUCUUCCAUCUCCAAUCGCCCUGGUCAGUUUAUCAUCUCCCUUUAUGUAUGUCUGUUAUGUUGAGUAGUUGGUUGUUGAGCUUGAUCAUUCUUUUCUUGCAAUUUUAUGGAAUCAGAUUAAUUUUUUUUCAUUUACCUAGUUGGCUUGUCUAUUCAGUAGAAUGUGGCUUUAAGAAUUCUAUGUUAGGCAAUUUUAUGGAAUCAGAUUAAUUUUUUUUCAUUUACCUAGUUGGCUUGUCUAUUCAGUAGAAUGUGACUAAGGUGGAACUAAAAAUUUGAAAACAACUUUAAGUUAAGGACGUGGGAUUUCUUGAUUAUUUUUUGGCUCCUGGAAGAUUUAGCACAAUCUCACCAGCUAUAACCUGGAUGAAUCAAAUUACUUUUCUUUUUUAGCUCGUUCUGGGAAGAUAUUGCGUUUUGCCAAAGAAAGUAAGAAAGUUGUAAAAUUCUUUACCAAAUGUGAAACAAGCUAUGGAUUGAAUGCUUUUUAACGCAGUAAUCUUCUUUUCAAUCUGAUCAGUGGUAAAUUGCUGCUAGGAGUAGUAAAAUUGGGAACCAAUUCUAAGGAUUUGUAUUGACUAUUUUAGCAUUGAAAAUUGCGACAAAGCCUGAAAGUUUUGAACUUGUUCUCAAAAGAUAAAGAUGAUUCUGUUUUAUGUUCAACUUAUUGAUUUGUCUUUUUCACUACAGAAAUGUCCAAACUUAUUGACACACUAACUUAAGCCACUGCUCAGUUCUCUUCAUAUUUCGCAUGUCAAAAUUUGAUUAUAGUUUAAAAAGUCUGAAAAUUAUAUAAUGAGUCGCAAUUUCAUGAGCACUAAACCAUUAUACAGAAAGCAUAACCUCGUGGCUUCAUUGAGAAAAAUCGCAAGUUUUCUUCUCUAUCAUUCUUCCUUCCUUUUCACUUUAUUGCCCUCUCUUUGUUAGAUAUAUCCCAUUCAUGAAUAAAAGCCAAUGUCAUACUGUGUGAGUGAGAAAUAAGAGCAACUGAAAACUGGACAAAAAGCAGGUCAUGUGAGGUUUUUCUCUCAUGGAUAUGGCUGCUCAAAGGAUGGCUAGCUAGAGAUCUACCAUGUGGUCUUACUAGUUAAACCAUUCUGCGAAGAUUUCCUUUUAUAUGCUUGACUCCCUGGACAGAGAAAUGCUCCAAUCUUAACUUGUUAAUCUGUGAUCUCGGAGAAUGCUUCUAUGAAGCUUUUAUAUUGUUCUUUCUGAUGCUUGACAAACAGUUUAAUAUUCUGAAUGGAGACCGUUUAGCUUUGGUUGAUUAUUGAGUGAAGACUGCUUUAGUUGAUUAGUGUUUCUCUAGGGAGUCCAAGCUCUCAAUCACACAAUGUAUCUUGUUUUGCUGGGGACUACAUUUUACAUGGGUUAGGGUCUAUGAUGCAUUAAUAAAUGGAUAUUGUACUUUGUAAUGGAAAAUUACGUCAACCUACUGAGGGCUUUAUCUGUAUAUCCUAUUAAUUUUUUGUCCCACAUGUUUGGCCUAUUACAAUGAUAUACCUUCCACGCAUGAGGAGGGAGAGUAUUAUUUAAUUCCUCUACUCACAUGUUCAGCUUUUGCUGGUGGUUCUCCAAUGGAUUGUUGGUUAUGAAGAUCUAGAUGUGUUACAACUUGAUCCUGCAAUAGAGAACACUAAAAUCACUGGACAAAUUGCUCCCCAUUUUUGGCAGCAUUCAGGUUCUUUACUAGAUUUUCUAAACUGUAAAAUUGUCUGUUUCUUAGGUGAUUUACCUAAUAUAUCAUAAGAGGAGAAAGUAAGAUAGAGUUCAUACUCAAAGUUGGUACCCAGAAAGCUACCGGAUCAAUUAUUUUUUCCCCUGCCUCUUGCUCUGAUUAUAUGCUGAGAGAUUGUGCAUUAUCUUGUUGUGUACUUGUGUCUGCACAAUGCUCAAAACUUCAGAAUAUAUUUACCGACAAAAAGUAUAUAUUUAUUGUUGCUUCCAUCUUUUCUUACAAGAAUGCUUAGAGAUACUGAAUGCAGUGAUACAGUAUAUUUUUUAUCCCUUUGGAGCAUAAUUUUGUUAAGUGCAAGACAUUGGUUAUACUAGAUUAUCUGUGCCUUUGCAUUUAUUUUCCAAGUUGUUUAGCUGUGAACUCAAAUUAUCUUUUCAAUGGAUCUCCUGCAGGGCCACUUGCACAGUAUAGGAGUCUUGUUAAGCAAGGGAAGCUGCAGCAUGAUCCUUACCAGGAAGAGGUUGCUUUUAAACUGGAAAAUCUGCUUGGGAGAAUGGAGCAAUAUGAGAAAGAUAUGGAGGAGUACCAUGUAGGCCACAACAGUUUAUAGUGGUUAAAUAAUACUGAAACGCUGUUCCUGGCCUUAUGUUAUUCCUCAUAUUCAUAGGAAAAGCUUACCAAAUGGGAGGAGAAGAGGGAAAACGAACGGCGCAGGCUUUUGAUGCAGGAAGCUGAGACCAAACAAGAGGGGGGUGGUAUGACAUCAAUAAGCAAGCAGCGAAAUCUUUUCCAAAGAUGGAUGUCCCGGUAAGGCUAUCAAUUUUCCCUUGAUUUUGUAGCAAUACUGAAACUGGAUAUUUCAAAGAAUUAUACGUUGGUUCACAAAAAUCUGAAUAGGAUUUCCUGUCAUUGAACCAGUUGCGAAUUCUGUAAAGUUCAGCAUGAGGUCCAAUUCCUGUAUUUUGCUCCCUUCAUCAGUCAAAAGAAAUAUAUUUUUUCCCUGCUAGUGAUAUUUGUCUUCAUUCAGGAAGAAACAUGAAAUUGUAGAGCCAGGAGUAGGGAAAUGGGUCUCAUAUCUUAAUCGAGAGAAGAAAUUAGAUUCACUGGUUGGUCGUCGUCCCACUGCUCCUCCAGCCCCCAGAGGAUUGUAUCUUUAUGGGAACGUUGGAAGUGGUUCGUUCCUGCAUCUUGAUUAUCUGCACUUCCUUGCCAAUGCACAUUUCUGCACUUAAGAUUUCUAGUAUUUUACUACAUUAAGGCACUAAAAGGAUUCAAUGAUUUCACUUAUGUAUAAAGUAGACAUGCAAUCUAACAUGAAUAGCAUGUUAAUACACAGCAUCUCUCUCUAUUAAUAUUAUUCUGGUUUUGGUUUUACUUUUUCACAUACCAAUUUGAAGAAAUUUUUGCAUCAUUUAGGUAAGACAAUGCUUAUGGAUAUGUUUUAUGGUGCGACUGAAGGAAUUGUAAAACACCGAAGAAGAUUUCACUUUCAUGAGGUGACUGCAUACUGGUACAGAGCGUGGUGUAAUUUCACUAUGCCAUCUUUUGAAUUUUAUUAUGUGAAUUAUUUUCCUAAGCAGCUGUUAUGCAAUUCUACUUGGAAAAAUUUAAGUUACAAGUUCUUAUUACUUUCUGUUCAUUUGCCAGUCUCCACUUUGCUAGCUUUUAUUUGGUUCAUCAUAUCUUGUUUCUUCUUGGUUUCUCCUUGUCAAUGUUGGAUGGGCAUAUGUAAGCCCUGCUAUAUCUUCUUUGACUUCUGGCAUGUCUUUCUCUUGACUGUAAGGCAUUUGGUGAGAGAACCCUAGGCAUUCCAUAAGAUGAUAAACCACAAACAAAAGACUUGUAGAGUUUAAGGCAAAUGAGAUUAAAAUGGAGCAUAUAUUGCAUUUAUUCUAAUUAUAGCUUCUUUUUGCUUGAUGCUUCCUAUCAAAGGUAUAACAAACUCUCAUGGAUUCCAUAUUGAAAGUUCUGUAGUAGGUCUAGUCGUUGCUCUAUCCUUGUUUUUCUUGGUAAGAAGCUUAAAACUGAUUGAUGGAUGUAAACAAGACUUUCUGGGUAGGUAGUGCAAGAAGGCAGUAGUUAAAAAGUUGAUAACUACUUCUGUAAAAGCAGAAGAAGAAUGAAUCAAACUUUCAGAAUUAGCACAUCAUGAAGUUGGUACAGGAGGAUAGAAUCACAGAACUAAUAGGGAAAUAUUUAACGUGCCACAGUAGUCAGUGACACCACAUUUGCUUUACCUAUAAUGUUUCUCUACAAACCCAUCACGUGUAGAUAUCAACACUAACAGAUGGAGGAGUAGGUUUUAUAUUAAGACCACUCUGUACCAACUAAUGCUUUGGCAAAUCAAAAGUACUUGCUCCUCAUCUGGCUUGAGGAAUGUUGACCAACAGGAAGCAUGCAGAACACAAAUAAAGACACACACACACACAUACACAAUAUAAGUUGGUUUGGGCUUAACUUGCUUCAAACCUUAAUUUUUGCGGAUUUUCAUUUUUGUUUCCAUAAUUAUUUUUUUAUUGCUCUUUAAAAAUGUCUUUUCUCGACAGGCUAUGCUGUUAAUAAAUGAGCACAUGCAUAAGAUAUGGAAGGAUCAAGUUAAGAAUGAAAGUUUGCAGUCCACUAUUUCUAGUUGGAUUACUAAUCUUCCCUUUGAUACAAAAAUUAAAGAGUGGUUAGCUGCAGAAGAAAGAUAUAAGCAAGAGGUGCAGAUGAAAAACAUCCUUCCUGCUGUAGCUGAUAAGUUUCUCACUGAAGCCCAUGGAAAUCAUGCAGGAGCUAGCCUUCUGUGCUUUGAUGAAAUACAGGUCUGAUGAUGUAAUGUUUCAUAGAUUUACUUUAGUGGUUCUUCAAGAAUUAUCUACAUCCUUACCUACAGAUAUCUGUUACUGUCUUCUUUAUAAAUCCUUUUUUUGUUAGUUAUCUGAGCAAGAAUAUUAGGUUCAACUGAUGUUUGUUACUAUAAGUGGGAAGACAGAAUAUUCAAGUUAGUCAUCUACUGUAAUAAAAUGUUUGAGUUCUACCCUUGUAGAAUUCCUAAGUACAAACAUGAAUAACAGACCCUGUUAAAGAAAUCUAAUUUGCAACAUGACUAAGUGUUAUGUUAUUGUACUACUACAUCUAACGUGAUUCAUUUUGUAGAUCAGUUUACUGCUACUUGAACUGGAUAUUGGAAUUAUAUUAUGAAGCAGGUUUUGUUUUACCUUAUAUUAUUUUCUGCAAAUGAGUGGGGCAUAAUUUUUCUUUGAAUGAUUAAGUUAUAUUCUUUAUUUCGUGCAAAUUUCUGAGUUGGAUUGAAAUUUUGGAGACGGAAUCUUUAAAUUUAAUAUCUUACUUGCUCUUGCAGACAGUUGAUGUUUUUGCAAUCGUAGCAUUAUCUGGAAUUCUAAGUAGAUUGUUAAGCAAUGGAACAAUUCUUGUUGCCACCAGUAAUCGUGCACCGAGAGACCUGAAUCAGGUGUCUUUAUACUAAAUCUUCCUAAUACAAACUGCAUAAAUUUAUGUUUUUAUGCUUCCUUUGGUGUUCUAUCCAGGACUCUGUGACAUGCUAUGCAUGGGACUUUGAACAUAUAUUGCACCCCAUAUAAAAUGUUGCUGCAACUUCUCUCCUUGCUUUCAGGAUGGUAUGCAAAAGGAAAUCUUCCAAAAGCUUGUAGCAAAAUUGGAUGAACAAUGUGAUAACUGUCUAAUAGGAAGUGAAAUUGACUAUCGCCGUCUGAUAGCAAAAAGAUCUAUUGAUCAGGUGAGCAUGAAGGCAAAUCAAUUAUCUUUUCCAUGUGUUUCUGUUUUUAUGACUUUUAGUUGUGAAAGAUGUGAUGGCCACAUCCUUUAUUACCAUACAUGCAGAUGUACGAGUAUUGUACAGAACCUUAAUGAUUGACAAAGAGAGCAAUAAAAAGAACAAGCUUGAAAAUUUAAGCACAUUUGAAGGUGUAUCCUGGAGAUAGCUCUGAAUAAUGAAUGGUUUGCUAAACAAGAAUGUGGUAUUACAUUGCAAUAAGAUUCAGUUUCUUUUUGUCUAAAUUCUUUAAUUGGUCCAUUCAUCUGUAGGAAUAUUCACACUCGUAACAUUUCUAAAGAUUCUCCUGGCAAAAAGAUGAACUUGAGUCUUAGUUGGUGUGGUUGAGAUGUACAUUUUUGUUUCUUUCUGAACUUAAUUGAAUUUUCUAUAUUCUACUUCAGUCUCAUCGUCUUCGUUGCUCCAAUAUAUUGGUUAUCUGUUAGUCAUAGAAUAAGUCCAACCUGUACUUAGAUGUUGUUUUUGGGGUUAAGUGCAUCUCCAUUUUCCUAUGUCUAUUCAGGUUCAUUAUUUUUGGCCACUGAAUAGUAUCAAAACAAAGGAAUUUGAGAUUAUGUGGGACAAGCUUACAAGACUAUCUGGGGGAAUAAUCACUUCAAAGGCAAUUCGAGUGAUGUUUGGGAGGUACUCUUCAAUCUAUCUGCGUCCAUGUUACUGAUAUAUCUCACUCAGCUUUUGAUAUUGCAUUUUUUUCGCAAUCAGAACAUUGGAGGUUCGCCUAAGCUGUAACGGUUUGGCACGUUUCACAUUUGAGUACCUAUGCGGUCGACCGGUAAAUUACUUCAUUUUGGGCAAAAGUAUCUUUUAUAUUGUUGUGCUAUUUAAAUUAAUACCAUCUAAAUCAUUCUUUCUUCAAAAUAAUUUAUAAGCUGAAACCUGCCUAUAAUGAUUUAGGAUUGUUUAAAUGAUGGUACUGUAAAUAGAAAAGCUCGAAAUAUAUAGAUUGUGGUUUAGUGUUUUUUUAUAGUAUCACUAAUUCAAAGCUAGUCUAUCUUUUUUCUCUCUCUUUUGGCGCUCUGUUCAUGCUGGAACAAUUUCUAUUGUGUGUAUGCUGAUGCAUAUUUAGUAUCAUUCAUUAUCUGAAAACAUUCGAAAACAGAAGCAAUAUCUGGUCGAUUUUACAACUAAAGACUGUUAAACUUGCUUUGACUCUUUCUAAGAUUUGUGCCUCGUAUAUUUUUGCACAUCUUUAAAUGGAAAUCCUUCCUUCCAUCUUGUAAUGUACUUUUGCAAACAAAAGGAAGGAAACUUGAUGAAACAAAUGAAAAUAGCUAGGUCCAUGUCUAGAUCAAUAUUCAAAGAGUUCAUACUGUCAUAUUAUUGGAUAUUACUGCAAAGAAAAGCACUUUGGUGGAAAAAUAUGAGUAUUCCUUCCUAAAAAAUAUCUUCGAAGUCUCAGAUGAUUCUUACUGUUUGUGAGUGUAUACUAAAGCUAUCAAUUCCUGUCCCUGAUAGAUGAACCAACCACUCAGUGACAUCUGCACUGCAUUUUAAUUUAAUUUUUUGAUGCUUGACCUUGUUGCACGUCCCCCUUUACCUUCUUUUUCCUGUUUGAUCCCAUUAGCAAUUAUUGCAGGUUGGAGCCGCAGAUUAUAUUUCUGUAGCUAAAAAUUACCACACGAUCUUUAUCUCAGACAUCCCUACUAUGAGCAUGCAAAUUCGUGAUAAGGUACCAAGGCUGCUUAAGUGAAUGCUAUUUCCUUCAGUACAUCAGUAUCAAUUCCUACAGCAUUUUUGUGCAUGCAAGUUUUUGUGAUUUACAUCAGGCUUUAAAUGAAUAGAUAUGCUUCUUAUCGCCCAUGCUGUUCACUUGACAUUCUUCUUUUUCCUUCUUUCAGUUUAAUGUAAGGAGAAAUUGCCUAUUUUUCACUUUAGUCUUUCUUUUCUUAUUUUACCUAUUACAUCAAGGGGGAAGGGAGCUUUUGAAGGUCGAACAGGUUCCCUUAAAAUGUCAUCUCAAGGGAAAAUCAUACUUGUCUCAAGGUUUAUGAUAAACUUACUUCGAAACUUACCAGCCACCAUUAGUAGUAUACAAUAAGAUAAAGCUUCUAGAUUCCUGAUUGCUAUGCACUUAGCUUGAGUUUGAACAUGUUCCAUGGAUCAUGGUGGCUUAUUCAGUCUCAUGGAUGGGUUUCUGAAGUACAGUCGCCCUCAGUGUAUUUAGGGAUCAUAGUUUUCAGCAUACUAAAAUAUGGUGCCAUUUUAGUGAAACAAUUUAAGGCACCUUUUAAGGACAACAGUUUACAAGCUACCUAAUAGAUUGCUCUAUAUGCUUGCAAGGUGCUUGUGCAGUUUAUCAGGUUAUCCUGUUUUUCUUGGAUAAGACUGACCAAUGUGUGAGCAUUCUAAAGCUUCCAAUGAUUAUCUUAUCUUUGGAAAGCUAAGACAAACUGAUAGACCGACAGUCUAAUAAACAGAUUGAUAUUGCUUCUGUAUGAUUACCAGCUACAAUUACCGAUAAUGGGUUUCUCGCUUCCAGGCUCGGAGAUUUAUAACUCUCAUUGAUGAACUUUACAAUCACCAUUGCUGCCUAUACUGUUCUGCUGCUUCUUCAAUAGAUGACCUAUUUCAAGGAACUGAAGAGGGCACACUUUUUGACUUGGAGAGGUGAGGAAAUCAUUUGAUCAUUCUUCUUUUGUGAGUUUCUUGACACAUUGGUCCAUGGAUGACCCCCACACCCUUUGGCUUUGCUUAGUUAGCUCUUUCAUCUUUUGACACGCAUGAGUUUCAUCAGAUAUUAUUUUACACUACCUAGCAUACUUGCAACAUGUCAUCAAUUCAUUAUAGAUCAAUGUUAUAUAACAAAGUAUUCCCUAAAAGUAUCAAAAUUCUAUUAUGAGAAGUUUCCUAGAGCCAUGGAGGUUUUUUUUUCGUUUUUUUUUAAUUAUAUCUGUUUUCUGCUUCUUUUCUCCUGAGCAGAGCCAAGUUCUUUCAUUAGCUAGGGUUUUAUUGUACCAUUUUGACAUUGUUUCUCAUGAUGCAAGUUUUAUGUGUCAAUUUUCAGUGAAAAAUGUGUGCUGUGCUUUACCUCUGCUUACGGUGUGCCCUAUUUUCAUUUUUGUUUUUCCUAUAUUCUGACAGUUCAGUUUUAUGUUGCCCUGUACGUCUUUAUUUUUUCUUUUUAUGACUUAGUGUGCUUUUGGCCUAAUAUCUCAUAAUGUUAAUUAACUAUGAUUCGUCAAGGACAAUCCUAAAGCAUUAAUAUACAUUAGAGAGAGAGAGAGAGAGAGAGAGAGAGAGAGAGAUGAUUUACUUGCUGCGAUUUCAAUGAAUAAUUGAUUUUAGUAGAAUAGAUUGUUAUGUUAGUAAUACUUAUGAAAGGAUUCGAGGAUUAAAAGACCAAAUAUGUUGUCCUUGUAUGCAGACGUGAUAUUUCCCUCCAGAAAAUGAAUCAUAACAUUUUCAUUAACAGAGUGAUGUGAUAAAUUGAUCAAUUCAAAUUUAGGCACAAAUAAUUGUCUCUUUUUAAUGCAAAAGACAUAGUUUUAUAUUACACAUUGCUUCCCAAAUGGUAAUGUCAUCUAAACCUGCUAUUAAGAAAUCUAAGGGUAUGCACUAGGUUGGUAGCAUGAUAUCAGGAUUGGCAGUAAAAUGGAUAUAGUGAAUUUACUGUUUUAAAAGAGUAUGGAAGUGACUUUUGGCAUAGACAUUACUUCUCUUUUAUGUCUGGUGACUGAUGAUCAAGUUUCUGGUCAAGUACAUUCUCAGUGAGAAAAACGAAUCAAAUAUGAAUGGAUAACAUUCGUAAGGCCAGUCUUUGACCCGUCUAGAGUUGCUGGAAAACUUUAAAGUUUAAGCAAUAUGCCAUCUACAUCACCUGUCUUUUAGCUUCAACUUCUGUCUUUGGUUAUAAAGACUACAUUGGUUCAUUUCUGCUCUCCUUUUCCAGCUUCCAAUUUGAAACAGAGACUGAAGGUGCCAAACUGCGACGAGAUGUUCUAGCAGAGGGCACAGUUAGUUCUGGUGGUACACCAACUGGAAUUACUUCCAUGCUAUCUGGUCAAGAGGAGAUGUUUGCAUUUCGCCGAGCUGUAAGUCAUUUUUUGCAUGAUUGUCAAUUUUUGCCGUCUUUUAUCAUGAAUGUUCUACAUUUUUUCUGUCAAGUCAUAGGAAAUGCUGUUUCUAAGUCCAUAGUUUAGCAUGUUAAACCUUCUCAUAGAAGGUUAUUGCAAUUUCCCUGAAGGGUUAAUCGCAGUAAAACCCCAUCAGGUUUAGCAUGCUUUGCAUGUUAGUCUUAAAGUUACUUUCUCCCACUUUACUCCUCCUCCCAUCAGGUUGAAAAGGGCAUCGUUGCCCCUGGCUUGAAUAGGUUACUUAUACUAAACUCCCUUAACGUUUAUUGUAAUGUUUACUCCUUGAGUUAGUUUUGUAACACUUAACCCACUAUUGCCAUUGAUGAAAACAAGUUUGUCGUCAAAACAACUAAGACUUGUACCCCUGGCAACAUUCAGACAGUGUCCCAUGCUGCACCCAAUAAUACCUGCUUCAUUAGACUAGCAGAAGAAAUUGUCAUGCUGCCAUAAUAAGAUGAAUCUGGUGGAUUCAUUAACUCAGUUCUUGACUGGUGUAUUCGCCAUGGCCUAAGAUUUGCUAUCAGGAAUAAUCUGUUAAUAUCUUUUGUUCUAUCUUUGUUAUCUGGUAAGUUGUGGUUGUGAUUGUGGCCUCUAUAUACUGUACAUUAGGGCAUGAACUAAAAGGCUGGUACAUGCAGGUUUCCCGCUUGAUUGAGAUGCAAACACCUUUAUACCUGGAAGGUGUCCGCCAUCUUCAUCCGUAUUUCCAGAAUCAAAAGGAAAGCUUUGGUACUCUUAAUGCAAAAGCAACUCAAUUUCGGGAACCAUCUCUUGAAAUCAUUUGAUGUGUACAUCACGUCGAAAGUUUUAGUACAUUUUUUGUGCUCGUUUGCCAUCAUUUAAUAGGAUAUACCGAUAACAAAGGGAAAUGAAUUUUUAAACAACAUUUUGCUAUCUAGUUCUGUUCCUAUUUCCAAGGAUGCCCUUUUCCUCUUGAUCUUCGGCCCGUAAAAUUACACGUAUAUAUAUAUAUAUAUAUAUGGAAGUCAAAUCCCUCUUCAUAUCCUGCAAAAGGUGUGAAGUAAAAUAUUAAGCAAUGGAGCAACCGAAGAACAUAGUGAAGAUAAUAAGCUGGAGACAAGGAAGAAGUGUAAGUACUGGAUGUAUUCAAUGUUGAUUUUGGCAUCAGGGUUGCGGGAGAUAGCUGCAAAAGCAUCACUAGACAAAACAAUGGUGGAAGGGCAUGGGCGUCUUGGGCAGAAAUCCACCACCCUAACGUCGAUGGUGGUGCCAAUAUCUCUGCAUGGCUUGUUGUUGCCGCUCAAGCAUCUUAAUCUGUAGCGUCUGCCGCAUGCAGCCCCGUUAUCCCACAGCCCUUCACUCACAGCAACGAACAGAUUUCCUGCUGGAAACUGAUCAUUUCUGUUUCCCCCGCACUUGGUGGCUGCACGAGUUAAAUUUAGAGUAAAUUUUAUAAUCAAAUUCCAUAUCCUUCCUAAUACGAUUCUCAAACAACUGAAAAAACAAAAAAGCUGCUGCUAAAUAAUGAUAUAGAAACUUCUGAGAAAUCAAAUGUUGCUCACGGGUAUAUGGAGGAUUGUAAGAAGUGGCAGUGCCAAUGUCUCCAAGGACUAAGUUUAUUUUAGCCAGACUGAAUAUGCUGAUUAAGACAAAAUUGAAGCGGAGGAGAUCCAUGAUUAUGGCUGUGGACUUUACUUCUGCCUAGGUAGGGUAGCUUGAUUCUCGACUUCGGAUGUGGGGGAAAUGUGCCUAAUUUACCUCAAAUUUAUACUAGCUGUAGAUAAAAUCAGCCCCAGGUUUCAAACUGAUCUCUAAACCGUCCCCUUUAUUUUUUUAUUAAGGUAUUUGAAUGUGGAUAGCUACUAAGAAAAGUUGCCAAUAUCUAAGCUGCAAGCAGCACGAGUACUUUUGGUUGGGAAUCAAUGGCAAUUGCAGUCCACGUUGACAAUGGAUGGUGAAAUGAAUUCAGCUUGUUGACGAUGAGAGGAGGGGUUGAGCGGAAAUGGGGCAGGAACGGUUGUCUCUGAAGGUUCACAGCCACGAUGUAGCCUUAAAAAUUUGUGCGGUUCAGAUUACAGCAUGUAACUCGAUUUUCACGCCAUGUGUGGAGCCCACAAAAAAGUGUUGUAAGAUUACGUCGUGUGCAAUGGAAGUUACACGCAGUUGAAAAUGAAUACAACCUGCAACUGUUUGUGCCCCGUGUUCGGGUUGAGCAUAUGGUUUCCUGCGUCAUGCACAAUCUUUCCACUUUCCCCUAGAAAUGUUUUGUUUUUUACAAACAUGGUACGCUAUCAAACUACCAUCAAUCACAUUGUUCAUAAUCAAAUAGGGUUUUGGAAAUUUAGCACAUGUCACUAAAGAAAUACAGUAGUAGGUUUCAAGAAACUUCAUAUAUAUAUAUAUAAAUCAUCAACCCACUCUUAUAAAAUAUGUCAUCAAAGGAAUCACAAUCGUGUUGGUAACAUGGUUCAAAGUCGCUGUCGUAGUUGCGGUCGCGGCUCAAACUGUUCCACAUCUGUCUCGACGUAUCGACCGCGGUCGCAAAUUUUUAAAAAAUUUAAUAUUUUUAAAAUUUGUAAAAAAUAUAAUAAACAAAAAUAAUAAAAAUUCAAGUUGACUUGGGAUGAUUCGGAGUGACUCGGGACGAUUCGACCGUUUCUAUCCAUUUCGAAGACGUCUUGGUUGAGUUUUCGGUGAUUCGGUCAAGUUCUCGACAAUUCAUCAUCCUGGUAUCGGAUUGGGAAGCCCCGUUCCGGUGACAACUCGGCCGAGUCUUUGAACCAUGGUUGGUACACUAACUAAGGUCUCUGUUAGGAAGAGUACAAUGUUCAUGUUUUCUCUCGGUUACAUGUUUACAACAUGAAAAAUAACUCAACUGUCAAAUAUUAUAGCUGAUAGCUCUAAGUGAUGUGAAGGCCGUGCUACGGAAUUCAACUAACAUACCAUGUAAGAUGUCCAAAGUAAAAGUCCACGGACCGCCACUAAUGGACGACUAGCCUGCCCUGGAAAUCAAAAGACAAAUUCCCUUUCAGUUCUUGCACAAGUGGUCGGUGCUGUUUAUAGGUUGAAAAUUGAUGAUCAUCAUAGCAAUACUGAUAUGAUGAAGCACUUCCCCAUUGGGGGGGCGGAAAGUGGAAGGCUUAUCCUGAGUAAUGCAGGUGGGCAGCGACACUGCCGAUGCUACUACUGGACGGCCGGCCGGACAUUCAACACUGGGACUGGGGCUCCAUUGUUCAUAAUAUCGUUGCUCCAACUUAAUCAGGAUUAGCCGCCGCCUCCUCCCCUUUUCUUUCUUUUCGUUUUUAUUUUUUUGGCUGUAAAUGUAUUACGGAGGCCGUCCAAAAGCACAUGAAAUCCUCAGUGCCACUUUCUCAAUGUCACUUCUAUAUUUAUAUCAAAUAUCCUGUUUGUUUAAUUUAUCAUGUGUUGUUUAUUAAAAUUUUUUUUACCAUCACAUGAUAAAUGGGAUUGAUACUGAAUUUGACACCGAAUAGUGUGGCACAGAAGAUCGCAAUUGAUCCAGAAGGACCGGAAGUUAUCUCACUAGAUUUAGCGCAUGCAUGCAUGCACUAAGUAGUUGUGGCACAAAAUCAUGAUUGCUUUGUUGAUAAAUUUAGCAGCGAGUGGAGUGAUCCAAAAUCUUACUACUAUCUGAAUAAAUUUCAAGAUCCCAAAACAUGAUAAAUGAUAAUGCUAAUAUACUUAAUCGCAAGACUAUUGACCAUAAAAAGAUCAUGGGAGUGACUUGGCAAUUUGUGACUCUAUUUCAAACGUGAUAAAAAAUUAUUAUAAUUGGAAUACACCAACUCGUUAGUGAUAGAAUUGGAUAUGCACUUUUCUAUGAUGAGAUUUAAAUAUAUAUAUAUAUAUAUAUAUGAGGAUCCCCCUAGAGCUAGCCAUAAUUUUUAUUGGCUAGGCAUCUUUUUGCAUUGUCAAACGGGAUAUGUUAAGAAUUGGCUGCCGGGCGAUUAUGUUAAAGAGGUAAAACUACCAUAUUUAUGUGGAGUGCAAAACCCCUCCAAAUGAUGUGCCAAAAGGAUUCAUUAACCUUGGUUAUCAAAACCAUGCAGUUUCUACACUUCAUUUUUUUUUUUCCCUUGAAAGCACGUCCUUAAUUUUGUUGUGUCAUUGACUUGGCAAAUUCUAAUUUCUGUAUAGUGAUCAAUCAUCAGUGAUCACAAACCAUUCUAAUCUUGGUUUUGGGUAAAAUGUGUGAAGUGAUAACACUAGUCAAAGUAUUCAAAAGGCAAUUAUUUGGAGAUCGUUGACACAAAAUUCUGCACGCCGGAAUCACACAUCAAUUCCAUUGUUGCAAAAUUGAAGGCACGUUUGGUCUAAGUUUAGAAAUCGGAAUUGUAAUUCGAAUCAAUUCCAAAAAUUCAGUAUGGGUUUUGAUCAAGAGUAUCAUUACAAUGAUUAGUGUUUGGUAUAUAUUUAUAAGGUUUUGAAAUCAACUUAUUUUUUAUUUUUUUCUUUAUUUUUUCUUCUUUCCCUUUUCUUGCCUUUUCUUCCCAGCCCUUAAGUACUCAUGAUUCACCAAAUUCUCUUGAACCACCAGCUGACCGUCACCAUUACAAUCUGUAGAGCAUGGGAGAGCAACUGACAAGAGAUGAGAGAAAGGCUUACACAAAAAGGGGGGGAAAAAAAGAGAGGAGAAAGAACUAGAUGGAGAGAAGAGACUGUCAUGAAGUAUUGGAGGAGAGAGGAAGAGAAUGAAAAGAGAAGAAAGGGGAAAAUGAGAGAAAGGUUUACAAGAAAUAAGAGAAAGAACCAUAUGGAGUGGGCCUGCUGCCAUGGAGGGUUAAAGGAGAGAGUAAAGCGAGAAAAAAGAGAGAGAAAGAUGAUAAUGAAAAUCUGCUCUGGAAGAUGGGAUGAGAGAGAAAAUCUGAUUGUAAGAUGCUGCCAUGGAGGUUGAACCGACGUGAUAGAGUGAUAAAGAUAGAUAUGUUAUCUUUUCUUUUUUAAUAUCCUCAAGUUAAAUUGAGACAAAUUUGAGAAUCUACCAAAACCUACCAAUUUGUUGGGGAUUGAGAAUUCCUAAAUUUUAAUGAUUCACUCCAAGAUUCUAAAUCCAAUACAUACAAUCCAAAUAGCAAGAAUUGGAAUUAUUUCAAUUCCUCAUUCCGAUCCCCUUUUACCAAACCGCGCCUAAUACUUGAAAUUAUUGAAAAUUACUGUUACAUUUUCACCAACCAAUUAACAACAUGGUCAUGAACUUGGACUUCUCAACCAUUAAAGUAGGAACUGAGAACAGGACAAGUGAUUCACGUAAUAUCCAUAUAGCUAGACGAGGACCACUUGGGAUCCUCGGUGACAUGUUUUCUAUGCCAACCCAAUGCCACCGAUAGUGUUGCGCCAAGUGUCUUGUUAUUAUUUAAACUUGUGUUAAACAAGCCAAAUUGAAUUAUUGGAAAAUUAAAGUGUAAAUAAUAACAAGACACUUGGCGCAACACUAUUGGUGGCAUUGAGUUGGCAUAGAAAACAUGUCACCGAGGAUCCCAAGUGGACGAGGACAUGUACAUAUUAUAGAAGCUUUAUGCAUACCACAACUAAAAGUGGGAUAAGGCUGCCUUUUAAGUAAAAGUCUAAAACUCGAGAUAUAUAACUCCCAUCACUAUGAAAAAGUUAACUAUUGACGAUUACCAUGCAAUGACAAUUAUAUUAAUUAACAUGGCGGCAGUGCCCUGAUUAAAAUGGUUCUUGAUUAGUGGCGGCUAAUCAAUCAUAUAGCCAAGCGUCUCUAAUCUCUAAGAAGAAAUGAUUAGGAAGCAUGCGAGAAUAUAUUGGUGCACUACUUGAUUAGUACGAAAGCGAUGUACCUAGGCCAGGCCACGUUGAAUAUUUAAUUUGGUCAGUUUUCUGUUUAAGCUUUCCACCACGGAUCAAAAUCAUCAAAAAAAAUGGGUCAAAGCUGUAAUGGGAAGUCAGAGUGGACAUGGGAUCAAUGGAGAACAGAGAGAAUUGGCAAAGCAGGAUGAUGAUGAUGAUGAUGAGGCGCAGAGUUGACAUUAAUCAAUGAAAGCUUGAUAAGCUGCAUGCGUCCGGGUUGCAGUUCUGGGAUUUUCCUGUUUCAAUUUUCCAGUGGAGAGGGUCUCAUGAGAUGGGCAAAAAAAAAAGACAACUUUCUAUGAGUAUUAUUCAUCGUUUUUUUGUCAAAUACCUAUGCGACAAAAUCAUGCAAAGGCCAUUUUCGCCUCAUGCCUAAGUUGAGUCAUAGUAUCAAACAGAAGUCAAUAUUGUUAAUAAAUUAACUGAAAAUCGUCCGGCACGAUUUGUUGAACAGAGAAAAUUGCACUAAUGACAGAAAAUAUACAGAAUAUGAAACAUGUCACAGAUAAUUAUGCCCUUGUGUAAUGUAUUUGAGACUUAUUAAAAGAUGGUCUAAACUAAACAUGCAACUGAAGAAUUGCAACAUCACGGAUAGUUUACUUGUUAACCAUUUGUGACCCUUGAAUAAAGUGUUGUAACUUGAGUGUUCCUGAUUAAUUAGAAGGCAUUCUUUUGCCAUAAGUUGUGAAUUUUCAUUCGCAUCUGAAGAUUUCUGAGCUUCUUAGCAAAACUUGUAAAUUCUAACAGCACGUGGUUGAUAUACUUGGUUUUUCAACCUCAUUUUCUUAAUAAUCCUUCAAUUAGCAGGCCUCGAACUCGAACUCGAACUAUCACAGGGGAAGAAAAUAUUUGGAGCAUCCCUAAAAAGAGCGAGUGAGGUUCAGUUUAUUUAAAAGCUAACCUCAAACUCCCUUGAAAGUUACUCCCUCCGUUCCACUUUGAUAAUCCUGUUUCUUUUUUCACACAGUUUAAGAAAAAGUAGUUAACUUUAUUGGAAAAGUAAAUUUAGAUUGCUAUUUUCCUAAAAUACUCUCACAUUAAAUAUGGUACAACUUUAUGGGAACUUGAAUUGAUGGUAAAAAAAGAAUCAACUCUUAUUAAAUGGAGUAGGUUUAUAGUAACAACUACUUACAUUGAAUAAGGGUAUUUUAGAAAAAUUAAAAUACAACUACAUUCUUCAAUUAGAAAGUGGACUACAAUUUGAGACAGAUGAAAAAGGAAUACAGGACUAUCAAAGUGGGACAGAGGGAGUAAUUAACAAUCUAUUGGUAUAUUAAUGGAAGGAAUCUGCCUACAGAUAAUUAAUGCUAAUAAGAAAGGUCGACCCUCCAAAAAGUCUUUAGAACUGUUAGUAAGAUGGCCUUCUAAGAUUACAAAAGUUCAUGCAACACUAGGUUUGUUCAUAGGGCUUGUUCUUGGUUGAUUUAUUUUAGGCGAUCAUAGAUUUUAAUUUUGAAUAAUCUGUUUUGUGAUGUUUCGUUUAGUUUACUUUUAUGUUCAAAUUAUAAAUUUUUGAACAAUAAAAAAAAAACUAAAAUCAUCCCAAUUGAGUUUUGGUUGACCAUGUUUUGACUUCAUGUUUUGGUCCACACGAAUAGGAUACCUAAAGAAUAGGUAUCCUAUUCUUUAAUCAAAAACAGAAAAAGAGAAUAGGAUACCUAAAGCUGGGCAUAGUGAUUGAAUCAAACAAAAUGUUGAAAAACAACUAAGGUAUAACGUUUCACACUUCAAAAAAAAAAAAACGUUUCACACUUCAAAAAGGCCCACACGGGUUCUCCUGCACAUUAGCAAGACAAAAAAUUAUUCUAUCUGUUCUGCAACUUCUUUUGUAGUACUAAUUAUAAGUACUAGCAAAAUCUUGUGUCCACAAUGCAAUAAUUGGAUUGACGAGACCAUGAAGGCAUAAUGGAAUCCUAUACGCGUGUUCAAGAAAAAAAUUUAAAUAAGAAGAGAGGAGAAAAGCAAAUCUUCCAUAAAACUGAAACUAAGCUCCUUAGAUAUAUUUGUAUUACAGCUUGUUACAAGGUAAUUAAGAAAGUGUUUCAUCCUUUAGUAUUGAGCAUGACUAGAAAAAAAAAAUUAUAUUCUUCUUUUGGGCUAAGUAGAUAUAACUCGACUUAAUCACAUGAUAAUUAUUAAAAUCUUCAUGACUGAAUUCUUUUCUUUGGCAAGCUUGAUCAUGACCGAAUUCUGCAAGUAAGUACUCUUCCAUCAUUCAUCUCUCGAAUAUACUGCAAAAUCACAUUGUCAAGGAGAAGCACCCAAAACCCAGCUGCCUCAUGGAACAAGUCAUCAAACCCUGCAGAUAUAUCGAUAUGUAAUGAGCAAAAAUUACAAAAUAAUAAUAAUAUUAAUAAUAAUAAAAGAUAAAGGUCAAGAAAGAAGAAUAGGAGUGAGAGGGCUAAGGAGGUCUUGGUCCAAUAGUUAAUAUGGAACCUCCAAGAUUUAGAUGCCAUGAGUUUAAACAUCCCUUUCCCUUCCCCUUUUCUUAAAUCCGGCCAUAUUUGUGCUUUAAAAAAAAUUUUUUUUUUAAAAAGGAACAAGAACAAGAACAAGAACAAGAACAAGAGUGAGAGGAAAUGGAUAUAUAUACGUAACUGGAUGUAUUCAAUGUUGAUUUUUGCAUGAGGAGAAUGUGCGAUGGCUGCGAAAGCGUCAGUGGACAAGAGGAUAGUAGAGGGACAUGGCCUUCUGGGGCAAAAAUCCACCACCCUAACGUCGAUGGUGGUUCCAACAUUCUUGCAUGGCUUGUUAUUGCCACUCAGGCAUCUCAACCUGUAGCGUCUUCCGCAUGCAGCCCCGUUAUCCCACAGCCCUUCGCUGACAGCAACGAAUAGGUUCCCUGCUGGGAAUUGAUCUGGUCUGUUGCCAUUGCAUCUAGUAGCUGCAACAGAAUUCACAGGUCAGCUACUUUACUAUACUGUAUAUGCAUAUAUGUGCAAGAAGAUUGAAAUUUGACAUGAACAAUCACUAAUGGUCAGUCCUUGACGUGCUUUUAAAAGGCAAAAAAAGAAAUCAAUCUCAGUACAGUUAAUUGGGUUAAUGGUAGAUAUAUAUUUACAGAUUACUUACGAAUAUAUGGUGGACUAUAAGAUGUUGCAGUGCCAAUGUCUCCCCGGACUAGGCUUAUUUCACUGCAAAAUAAGCUGAUGAGGAGUGUUGCCACAACUAGGACAGCCAUUUUGAUUGGAAAGGAAAAUUAACUUGGUACAGCUGAUUGAUUCUUGUUGUGUGGAAUUAUUGUUUAUCAACUCCCUCAAUUUAUAGAUGGAAGGAGCAAUCCAUCCUCCAAUUAGGUCCUCCCCGCCCGCAAUACGCUCCAAGAAUAGGACAGAAAUAAAGUGGAUUAGUGAGAAUCAUUUACACUUGUUGUAAUUGGUUUGUCUGAGUCUUCAGCGUGAGAAUCUAGUUAAGCAAUUCUUUAUCCUGUCAUUCAUUCGAAGUAUCAAAAGUGACGAAAAUGAUCGUCACAGCAACUGUUUCUGAGUGAUGUAACAUCGAUUAACCAUUGCCAUUAAAUUAUAUAAAUAAUGAAUGAUAAAUUACAAUUUCCAAGCAUGUGCACGAUCUAGAAUACUCCUACUAGAAAAAAAAAAUGAGGUGUGGCAGGUAAAUGUGGUUAGUGGUCAUUGAUUGAUCCAAUCAAACGACAUGCGUAGAUCUGAGGAAUUCUUUUAUUCUACCAUUCGAAGUGCCAAAAAAGAUCAUGGUGUAACACUGUUUAAAUACAUUGCAUUUUUUUCUAAACUAUUUACACAAUUAUUUUACAGUGACAAAAUGUAACGUUCAAUUCACAUACCUCUCAUCUCAUACAUAAUAGUUGUGACAUUUUCACUAGAAGUUCAUAUAGUUGGUCAAAAAGAGGUGAAAAAUGCAACCUUCCUCGUUAGGAAAAGGGGCAAAUAGAUUGGCUAUACACGUACAACACUGAUAAUGUGGCAUCUAGUUUGCGCGUAAAAGUUUCCACACGACGGAUGUUGCAGUUGCUAAAUUCAUUGCCUCAUUCUUCCUCUCAUUGAUGAUCAAAUUUGCGGUGAUAUACGAAGCUCACCUGAUAUUAGGAGUCUGAACGCCAUUCUAUACUUGAAAUUAAAUGGAUGUCACUCCUAAAAAUUGUCUCAACGGAACGAUUAUUGGACAUUCUUUUCUUUUCUUUUCUUUUUUUGUCAAUAUAGGGAGUAUCUCAUCUUUUUUUGUUAAACUAAUAUUCCUGUGCCCAUACAUCCGAACCCAAGGAUACACGAGACGGUAAAAAAGUUAGAAUCGACCACACUGGGGCCUAAUGAGGUUAUCCCAUAGCCAACCGAUCUGCGCCCGAUGGGCGAUUGUUGGACAUUCAUUAAGAGAAAAAAAUUGUGAUUUUGACCAGUCAUAUUCACAUCCUCAUAUCACCUAGUAGAACACAGAUGCCGUGGACAAGGCUGCCCGCCAAUUUUCCCCAACUCCACUCAAAUCAAAUGUCCUUGUUUCCUCACUUCCACGGCUUGCUAGUGCUGUUAUGGUUGUCAACAGUCCAGACUGUAGAAAGGAGGAUUGGAAAACGAAUUCCAUAACGGUGCAUAUGCACUGUUAUCAUCGUUGAAUUCACGACAAAUAUGCAUAGUCAAAUUACACAGUUAGUUGGUGUGUAUAAGAUUAAUUCUUUUUAUUUUUAUUUAAUUCUAUUUCAUUUUGUUGUCACCUUUUAAUACACUUGGAAAUUAAAAGAAACAAUUGGUCUUCUCUUAAAGAAAAUGUCAAGAUCUAGGUGUAGUGGUUUAGCUGUCAUUAAUGAUAAGGGUAAAAUGCUUAAAUUUGAAGUCGAGUCAGUUACGGCAAAAUUGGUGCACUUUUUUCCAGUUGCCACCAGCUGUUAGGAUUGUGCACUUUCAUUGAUUUGUCUCGUACCAAUACAAUUAAUCCUGAUAAUUAUGGGAUCAAAACCGUAAAAAAAAAAAAAAAAGAAGAGAAAAAAACACACAAACUUUUUGACCAUUCAACAAAAAUCAGAAAUAAAGUAAUUAGCAGGAAUCAAAUGGAGAGAGCCUAUUGAAAUCACGAAGUCCAGAAAUUGAUAGGACACAAACUUUUUGACCAUUCGCCAAAAAUCAGAAAUAAAGUAGUGCUUGAAAAAUUAUUGAAGCGCUGAUUUUUCUAGAAACUCCAAUUUAGUGGGUGCAAUAUAUCACAUUACAUUUACAUCAGAAGAGACGUUGUCCCAGCACUCCCAACUCCCAUGGAAUAUGCCUAAGAAACUUUAUGUAAGCUGCCCAAAUUUUGCCUCAAUAACCCCUUUUUUUUUUUUCCCGCUGAUGAGAAUCGUAUAUACCAGCUAUGUUUAGUGUGUGGAUUAGUCUAACGCGUGCCCUCAAGGCACUCGUUAACACGCCUAACAUUGAUCUAAUCUACUAUAUAUAUUGUAUACACACAUACUAACAAUUAUCAUCCCCUUGCAUUUAUAUGCUUUCUCUAUUUAAGCUUGCGUACCCUUUUUUGUAUUUACUACUUUUCCUAAUUAUUCUUAUAUUUUCAAAAAUAUAGCACAUGAAAUAUAGUUUAACGACAGACCAUAUUAAAAAUUAACCAUUAUUUGCACAUCGCGUACUCAUUAUCAGGUAUUACGAAAUAUUAUUUUAAGAGUACUAAUACAUUCAUUUCUGAGCUUCUGGUAUUACUCGAUAAUAUCGAAAAAUAACCCAUUUUAAUACUUUUAUAAAAAUAUUUGCAAGGAUUAUCUAUGACACGAAAAGCAUGCUUGUUUGCUUACUUAUCAAGAUUAGGGGAAAAAAUUCUUAAAUAUCAUAUUCCUCGAAUCGUAAGCGUAAUUUUCAAUCACUCUAUCGCAAAAUGUGCUAGAAUUUUUUUUUUUUCAGAAAAAAGUGUUACAGUACUAUUUCAGAUAUUUUUUAUCAAAUAAUCUUCUAUCCAAAUGAGCCCAAUAUUAAUUUUUAAAGUUUGAAGUGACGUUUGGUUAUUCCGCAGGAGCAGCAUAACUGCAUCCCUAUUUGGUAUUGCUCCAACUCUAUCGGAUGUCCCGUAGGGAUCCAUUCCUAUGUGGUAAUGGUAUCUGUUGCUGUCUGCUUGUGCAAAAUCUUGACUUCCUAAACAUUCCCAUGCCAAUAUUAACGUGCGUGGCCGAAAGGUUCUCUUUGGAGAUGUGAUCCCUAAUUCUAGAAGGAUGCUUUUUGGAAAUUCGGAGCCCCGUCAGGACCCAGGUUUCCAGUAUAGGUAGCUCUGCUCCAGCCCAUGUCUUCAUAUGCCCAUCCUCACAGCACAAAAUCCAUUGACUUGCCCAUAAACAAAUGCCCAUCCACCGACGCAUCUGCCCACUGCGCCACAUAGAAAUGACAACCCAGUGUGUUUGCCUACUGCUUUUGGUCGGACCAAAAACAAAAAAAAAAAACAUAGGAUUCAAUUUGGAUGUUGUGGAUGUAGGAGAUCUGAUCCUGGAAUCCAAGAAUCCAUGAAUUCAUUUGGCCCGUAAAGCCCAUAACCUAACUGGAUACACUGUAAUAUGAGGCACAGCCCAAUGCACAUACAAUUCAUCCCCACCAACUCACUUUUGCAGCCACAAUCAGAGGCAGGCAUAAAAGCUCAAUUUGCAUGAAUUGUUCUUUCCUUUUCGAAUAUUUGUUGGUUUUCAUACAUGGCAAAGAUAUACCACGAAUACAAUCUCCGCCCUGUCAUAUAGGCGCACCAAAAAACAGCAAAUUUCUCUCCGUCAUUUCAUUUUCCUUUCUUCUGUUGGGGUUGAAAAGGGAGAACAGAGUCCGUCCAACCUGUUUCUCAUUUUUCUCUUCCUCAAUAGAACCCCCUCCCCCGACCUCUCCUCCUUCGUGAGAAUAAUCCGUCCCAAGAUUCCUCAUUCUUCAGUAGCGAAUCAAACAAAAAAAUUUAUAUUAAUAUAUUCAAUUUGGUAAACCGGUCUCAAAAAACUGCUUCUUUCUUUAUUCUCUUCCCAAAACAAAUCUAAUCUAAUCAUUCUUGUCUACCCACUAGUCAAGAAUGCAUUUUUUUAAUACCCUUCUCCCCAAAACCGAAUCUUUUGCUCCUUCACUGUACCCAAAUUGCUUAGAAACAUGAAAGCUUAGCAACUUGGGUAUGUACUGAAUUCAUCCAAUUGAAGGGAAAGGCAAAAGAAGGGUUCCGUUCAUUUUUUUGAAGGUUUUGCAGAAAUGGGGGGAACAAAAAUGCAAUCUUUGCAGUAUAAGAGUGAUGGGUUUUCCUCAAAUUCUCAGUUCAGGUUUCAAUGGAGUCUCCUCCCAGAUGAUAAUUUAUACCCUGUUGGCGGCCUCUUUGCCUCGGUAGGCCAAGUUGGGAAUAUGGGUUUCGGUGUUUCUCCAAAUUCACCAAAUCCUCGAGGAGAAAAUCAAAAGGAUGGUUUCAAGCUGCCUUGCACUGAUUUAUAUGUGAAAUAUGUGUCAUCUCCUGAGGGGUUUAAAAUCGUGGGCAUUCCGGAGGAGGAAGGGGCGGUUAAGAAGAAGAAGACUGGGCUUAAACUUAAAGUUAAGGUCGCAAAUCCUUCAUUGAGGAGGUUAAUAAGCGGAGCAAUUGCCGGUGCUGUGUCCAGGACUGCUGUAGCUCCAUUGGAGACAAUAAGAACUCAUUUGAUGGUUGGGAGUAGCGGGCAUUCUGUUACUGAGGUGUUCCAUAAUAUAAUGGAGCAUGAUGGAUGGAAAGGAUUGUUUAGGGGCAAUAUGGUUAAUGUGAUUCGAGUUGCGCCUAGCAAAGCCAUUGAGGUAAACAAAAGAUCGCUCCUUACGUUAAUUUUAGUUUUCAUUGGGUCAUACUGUUGGCUUCAUUCCGUGCUUCUGAUACUGAGGCUGUAAUUAAUUAUCUGCUUUUCAGUUUUAAGUUGGUCUGUAGUGUCUGAUGCAUCUUAUAGUUGGUUUGUUUUCUGGUUUUAUAGGGCGUUUAUCUGGUCGUGAUAUGUCCUAAAGCAUAGUUUCCAUUAGUGGAUGACUCACAAGCCCAUGUCUAGGAAGGGCAUAAGUAGGCUACUGGUAGCUCAUGCCAGGGGUGAUUGAAUUGUUUUUACUACUAACCACCAGAUGCAUUGAUAACUAGCUAUUGGGUGAUGUGCAUUAUACAUGAUUAAAAAGGUUUGCCGGUUUCUGCCUUACCAGAAGAAAGGAUACCCAAAUGCAGUUUCUCCAAAUUCCACUAACCUGCAGUAGACUUUUUGGGCUUUCCUUUUGUCCUCACGCAUUUAUCAGAGCCAAUUUUGAGCUCCUGAAACCAUAGUUUUGGGUAAUGGGCAAACUGUUCAAUGUUGUGAGCCAAGGGGUCAUGAGCUUGAGAAUAGUUGCUUGCGCUAGUGUGAAUGACUCAGAAGCAAGUGAUCAGGUGAUGAAAAUUUACCCCAUGAUGAUUGACGAAUUCAAUACUUGAAGAAUUCUGUCAAAAGGGAAAUUUUGUAGCUGACUAAUGUAAAUGUUUCCUCGGUAUGACUAAGCCUGGGUGGAUAUGAUUGAUACAUUGACUGAAGCUUUUCCAGAUUUCUGUUUGGAUGUUGCUGCAAGAUCCUGUUCCACUCUCUUCCUGGCCAUGUUUUCUAUGAAGCUUGAAGUUAUGUAUGCUUUUCAGUUAAAUUGCCUUUUCUAUUUGCAUUUUGAGAUUGAGGUAUUAACGGCCUCUGAUUCUUUUCCAUCACCUUCUGAUUGGCUGGAAAAUUUAACAUUAUUGCAUUCCAAUUUCAAAUGCAUGUUCCCUUGUUUUUCGGUAUUGUAUAUUGAAUCUGUCAUCUCGUGCCUCAGUUCAUAGCUAAAUGGCAUCUGUCCUUUUGCAGCUAUUUGCUUAUGAUACUGUCAAUAAGAAUCUGUCACCCAAAUCAGGGGAGCAGCCCAAGCUUCCUGUACCCGCUUCAUUAGUUGCAGGAGCCUGUGCUGGAGUCAGUUCAACAUUGGUGACCUAUCCACUUGAGUUAGUCAAGACACGAUUAACCAUCCAGGUAAACUCAAGCAUGGUUUCCUGUUGCUGUUACAGUUUUUGCAUUCCAUUAUUCUGAUUGGCUUUCUUCCUGCAAUGUGCAGCGAGGAGUUUAUGAUGGUUUAUUUGAUGCAUUUAUCAAAAUAUUGCAAGAGGGUGGACCUGGAGAACUCUACAGAGGUCUUGCUCCAAGUCUCAUUGGAGUGAUUCCGUACGCUGCAACCAAUUACUGUGCAUAUGAUACAUUACGAAAGGUAUACAGAAAAGUUUUCAAACAGGAGAGGAUCGGGAACAUAGAAACCCUGCUAAUUGGAUCUGCAGCUGGUGCCAUAUCAAGUAGUGCUACCUUCCCUCUUGAGGUGGCCCGAAAACAGAUGCAGGUUGGAGCUGUCAGCGGGAAACAAGUCUACAAGAAUGUGCUUCACGCUAUUGCUAGCAUACUUGAACAGGAAGGAAUCCAAGGUUUAUAUAAAGGGCUCGGACCAAGCUGUAUAAAGUUGGUGCCUGCAGCAGGAAUUUCUUUCAUGUGUUAUGAAGCAUGCAAGAGAAUAUUAGUUGAGGAAGAAGACAAGGGGUAAAAGCACUGAAUUUAGAGGAAGGAAUAAAAAAAGUGCUCUCCAUACAUCCCAAUAAAUACAUAUGAAAGCUAGGAUACAGGUCAGGUUUUCUUCAUACUAAAUUGACUGGUGUUCGGCAUUUUUCCUCCGUCUGUGGUCUCUAUCUUGGAGGAUUAGCUUAUUCGUUUAGUUUGUAGGAUGAGAGGAGUGAUGCUCUCAAGGACCUUUGCGAUGUUUUGAUUCUUGUUUUCCUGGUUUAAAGAAUCAAAUUUUGAACAUUAAGUUGCGGAAGAUCAAGUGCACAAACCUUGUCACAUUUGCGAGUUCAGCGAAGAAGUUCUCAUGGUUUUCAACACGCCAAGUUCUAACACAAUCUGGUAAAAUAGUCUUGGCUGGUUGCUGUCUUCGCAAUCUUCACCUCUGGAGGAUUGACAUAUUAUUAACUCCUGAGGCUGUGGACGUCUGAACGUCUCGAAAGGGAAUUCCUUCUCUCUCUCUGUCGGCUUCAUUGCUCGAAGCCUUGUUAGUGAUGUGACUAUCUCCAUCACCUUUGAAUAGGUUACCUUAGUUUUUUUUUUUCUAACAAAAAGAGAAAGCUUAGUAUAAAAAUGAAAAUGAUUUGGAGAAGGAAAUUGAUCCUCUCUUAAUGUUCUAUUCUGCGCGCGGAUUUACAAGUUCAGUUCUAUUCUGGUGUUUUUUUCUCUAUUCUCUCUUUGGGGCAGUCGCUAGUUCGCUGCUUAAUGUGUAUGCGUACCCUCUCUACUUUCCAGGCUCGGAGGCACCGGGGAGGGGGACACGAAAAAACCUUUCUUUUCUUGGUUUUAGUAUAGCCCUACUGAUGAAUUUGGCAUGCUACUUUGAUCACCCUUUCAAAUCCUGCAAUAAAAUGGACUUAUAUUUGGCAUGCUACUUUGAUCGCACAUCUCAAACGCCAGCACCAAACGAACAUGUUCAACGAUUUGAUGCAAUCAAACACCCCCAUCCAACAGUUAUACAAGAUACGUUCCAUUUUACUUCCUCAAGAGGCAAAAGGGUCAUGUCCCAAGGCCAUAAAAUGAUUCAUUAGGUCAUCUUAUCCGUUGUUUGGACCUUGGCCGAAUUAAUGGCUCAUGUAGCAAGACUGAACUAAGGAAAGUUAGGAAACCACUAGCCACAUUAAUCUAGCUCCCAGGAAUUAGCAAACGAGACAAAAGAAGUCAGAUAUAGAGACUCAGACACCACUCCAAGAGAACAAACUAGAAAGAAGGCAAGCAAGAAACAAGGGAACUAGAGUUUCUUGCAACCUUAUUCAGUUUAGCAUGCUAACAGAAUGGAGUCAGCUGUAUGCCCAAAACCACUAUGAUUCUCCACAGAGCUGCAUAGUCAAAAUCUACAAUCAUCAUCAAAGAAUAUCUGGCAAAGCCAAAAAAAUUCGAGUUGAUUGCCAUAAAAUUGAAUCCCUACAAUUAGCGAUAAGAAAAAUGGAUACCAAGAAUUCAGCAAGUUCCCAAAUACUCUGAACUACAGAAUCAUUUAAAAAGAACCCUAUGAUGAAAUUUUAAGAGUUAAAUACAGAGGGAUAUGUUUUAAUUAAAUCCAAAUUAAUACCAUUGCAGAUCCCAAAUUUUGUUCUUUCUAUUUAGGUAUUUGCACAGACAACCAAACUUCAGAAAGGAGAAGAGAAGACAGAUAGAAGACUCCAGGAAUCAUAUUUCAGUUCUGAUCAUCAUUCUCCACAUAAUCUCUUUGCUCUGCUU
rnacentral:lncRNA from 1 species